UACGAAGGGGGCUAGCGUUGCUCGGAAUCACUGGGCGUAAAGGGUGCGUAGGCGGGUCUUUAAGUCAGAGGUGAAAUCCUGGAGCUCAACUCCAGAACUGCCUUUGAUACUGAGGAUCUUGAGUACGGGAGAGGUGAGUGGAAUUCCCAGUGUAGAGGUGAAAUUCGUAGAUAUUGGGAAGAACACCGGUGGCGAAGGCGGCUCUCUGGACCGUAACUGACGCUGAGGCGCGAAAGCGUGGGGAGCGAACAGG
rnacentral:rRNA from 1 species